rnacentral:rRNA from 1 species
GACGAACGCUGGCGGCGUGCUUAACACAUGCAAGUCGAACGGAAAGGCCCUGCUUUUGUGGGGUGCUCGAGUGGCGAACGGGUGAGUAACACGUGAGUAACCUGCCCUUGACUUUGGGAUAACUUCAGGAAACUGGGGCUAAUACCGGAUAGGAGCUCCUGCUGCAUGGUGGGGGUUGGAAAGUUUCGGCGGUUGGGGAUGGACUCGCGGCUUAUCAGCUUGUUGGUGGGGUAGUGGCUUACCAAGGCUUUGACGGGUAGCCGGCCUGAGAGGGUGACCGGCCAGAUUGGGACUGAGAUACGGCCAAGACUCCUACGGGAGGCAGCAGUGGGGAAUAUUGCACAAUGGGCGGAAGCCUGAUGCAGCAACGCCGCGUGCGGGAUGACGGCCUUCGGGUUGUAAACCGCUUUCGCCUGUGACGAAGCGUGAGUGACGGUAAUGGGUAAAGAAGCACCGGCUAACUACGUG